rnacentral:rRNA from 1 species
UACGUAGGGGGCUAGCGUUGUCCGGAAUCAUUGGGCGUAAAGCGCGUGUAGGCGGCUUCGUAAGUCCGUUGUGAAAGUCCAGGGCUCAACCCUGGAAUGCCGAUGGAUACUGCGGAGCUAGAGUCCGGAAGAGGCGAGUGGAAUUCCUGGUGUAGCGGUGAAAUGCGCAGAUAUCAGGAGGAACACCAAUGGCGAAGGCAGCUCGCUGGGACGGUACUGACGCUGGAGACGCGAAAGCGUGGGGAGCAAACAGG